CCUGACUGCUAUCGGAUUGAUACUAAGCCAUGCGAGUCAUUGUAGCAAUACAAGGCAGACGGCUCAGUAACGCGUAGUCAAUCUACCCUAUGGACGGGAAUAACCUCGGGAAACUGAGAAUAAUGCCCGAUAGAACAUUAUACCUGGAACGGUUUAUGUUUCAAAUGAUUUAUCGCCGUAGGAUGGGACUGCGGCCUAUCAGUUUGUUGGUGAGGUAAUGGCCCACCAAGACUAUUACAGGUACGGGUUCUGAGAGGAGUAGCCCGGAGAUGGGUACUGAGACACGGACCCAGGCCCUAUGGGGCGCAGCAGGCGAGAAAACUUUGCAAUGUGCGAAAGCACGACAAGGUUAAUCCGAGUGGUUUCUGUUAAAGAAACCUUUUGCUAGUCCUAGAAACACUAGUGAAUAAGGGGUGGGCAAGUUCUGGUGU
rnacentral:rRNA from 1 species